rnacentral:tmRNA from 1 species
GGGGGUGUAAAGGUUUCGACGGGGAUGUUGAAGCUUGAGAAGCGAGCCGAUGUCGUCCGAUCAUCGUUAAAAGCGGCACCUAAAUAUAAACGCAAAAGAAAACAGAAGUUACGGUAUGGCUUUAGCUGCUUAAUCGCAGUCUAAACCCUACUAAAACUCACCCGCGGCCCAAUAGCGCCGCACGCCCCUCCAUUUUACCUGCGACUUGGAGCCUGGCGUUCAUCACA